UAGGCUGCAACUCGCCUAUAUGAAGUCGGAAUUGCUAGUAAUCGCGGAUCAGCAUGCCGCGGUGGAUACGUUCCCGGGCCUUGUACACACCGCCCGUCACACCAUGAGAGCCGGGAACACCCGAAGUCCGUAGUCUAACCGCAAGGAGGACGCGGCCGAAGGUGGGUUUGGUAAUUGGGGUGAAGUCGUAACAAGGUAGC
rnacentral:rRNA from 1 species